UGAGCGGCACUGACAUGACACUUGUAUUCUCGGUGGCGAGCGGCGGACGGCUGAGUAAUGCCUGGGAAAUUGCCCUGAUGUGGGGGAUAACCAUUGGAAACGAUGGCUAAUACCGCAUGAUGCCUACGGGCCAAAGAGGGGGACCUUCGGGCCUCUCGCGUCAGGAUAUGCCCAGGUGGGAUUAGCUAGUUGGUGAGGUAAGGGCUCACCAAGGCGACGAUCCCUAGCUGGUCUGAGAGGAUGAUCAGCCACACUGGAACUGAGACACGGUCCAGACUCCUACGGGAGGCAGCAGUGGGGAAUAUUGCACAAUGGGCGCAAGCCUGAUGCAGCCAUGCCGCGUGUGUGAAGAAGGCCUUCGGGUUGUAAAGCACUUUCAGUAGGGAGGAAGGUGGUAGUGUUAAUAGCGCUAUCAUUUGACGUUACCUACAGAAGAAGCACCGGCUAACUCCGUGCCAGCAGCCGCGGUAAUACGGAGGGUGCGAGCGUUAAUCGGAAUUACUGGGCGUAAAGCGCAUGCAGGUGGUUUGUUAAGUCAGAUGUGAAAGCCCCGGGCUCAACCUGGGAAUUGCAUUUGAAACUGGCAAACUAGAGUACUGUAGAGGGGGGUAGAAUUUCAGGUGUAGCGGUGAAAUGCGUAGAGAUCUGAAGGAAUACCGGUGGCGAAGGCGGCCCCCUGGACAGAUACUGACACUCAGAUGCGAAAGCGUGGGGAGCAAACAGGAUUAGAUACCCUGGUAGUCCACGCCGUAAACGAUGUCUACUUGGAGGUUGUGGCCUUGAGCCGUGCUUUCGGAGCUAACGCGUUAAGUAGACCGCCUGGGGAGUACGGUCGCAAGAUUAAAACUCAAUGAAUUGACGGGGGCCCGCACAAGCGUGAGCAUGUGUUAUUCGAUGCACGCGAGAACUUACCUACCUCUGACAAUCAGAAGAAUCUAGCGAGACGCAGGUAUGUGCUCGGGAGCUCUUGAAACGGUGCUGCAUGGCCUGUCGUCCAGCUCGGUUGGAAAUGUAGUUAGUCGGCACGAGGCACUUUA
rnacentral:rRNA from 1 species